GACGAACGCUGGCGGCGUGCCUAACACAUGCAAGUCGAGCGAUGAAACCCUUCGGGGUGGAUUAGCGGCGGACGGGUGAGUAACACGUGGGUAACCUGCCUCAAAGAGGGGAAUAGCCUCCCGAAAGGGAGAUUAAUACCGCAUAAUAUGUUUUAGUCGCAUGAUUGAAACAUCAAAGGAGUAAUCCACUUUGAGAUGGACCCGCGGCGCAUUAGCUAGUUGGUGAGGUAACGGCUCACCAAGGCGACGAUGCGUAGCCGACCUGAGAGGGUGAUCGGCCACAUUGGAACUGAGAUACGGUCCAGACUCCUACGGGAGGCUG
rnacentral:rRNA from 1 species